rnacentral:rRNA from 1 species
CGAACGGGUGAGUAACACGUGGGCAAUCUGCCCUUCACUCUGGGACAAGCCCUGGAAACGGGGUCUAAUACCGGAUAUCACUCCUGCAGGCAUCUGCAGGGGUCGAAAGCUCCGGCGGUGAAGGAUGAGCCCGCGGCCUAUCAGCUUGUUGGUGAGGUAAUGGCUCACCAAGGCGACGACGGGUAGCCGGCCUGAGAGGGCGACCGGCCACACUGGGACUGAGACACGGCCCAGACUCCUACGGGAGGCAGCAGUGGGGAAUAUUGCACAAUGGGCGAAAGCCUGAUGCAGCGACGCCGCGUGAGGGAUGACGGCCUUCGGGUUGUAAACCUCUUUCAGCAGGGAAGAAGCGAAAGUGACGGUACCUGCAGAAGAAGCGCCGGCUAACUACGUGCCAGCAGCCGCGGUAAUACGUAGGGCGCAAGCGUUGUCCGGAAUUAUUGGGCGUAAAGAGCUCGUAGGCGGCUUGUCACGUCGGGUGUGAAAGCCCGGGGCUUAACCCCGGGUCUGCAUUCGAUACGGGCUAGCUAGAGUGUGGUAGGGGAGAUCGGAAUUCCUGGUGUAGCGGUGAAAUGCGCAGAUAUCAGGAGGAACACCGGUGGCGAAGGCGGAUCUCUGGGCCAUUACUGACGCUGAGGAGCGAAAGCGUGGGGAGCGAACAG